rnacentral:rRNA from 1 species
GAUAAACGCUAGCGGCAGGCCUAACACAUGCAAGUCGAGGGGCAGCGGAAGAAGUAGCUUGCUACUUCUGCCGGCGACCGGCGCACGGGUGCGUAACGCGUAUGCAACCUACCUUUAACAGGGGGAUAAUCCGAAGAAAUUUGGUCUAAUACCCCAUAAUAUUUCAGAAGGCAUCUUUUGAGGUUGAAAACUCCGGUGGUUAAAGAUGGGCAUGCGUUGUAUUAGCUAGAUGGUGAGGUAACGCCUCACCAUUGCGAUGAUACAUAGGGGGACUGAGAGGUUUUCCCCCCACACUGGUACUGAGACACGGACCAGACUCCUACGGGAGGCAGCAGUGAGGAAUAUUGGUCAAUGGACGCAAGUCUGAACCAGCCAUGCCGCGUGCAGGAUGAAGGUGCUAUGCAUUGUAAACUGCUUUUGUACGAGGGUAAAUUCAGAUACGUGUAUCUGUUUGAAAGUAUCGUACGAAUAAGGAUCGGCUAACUCCGUGCCAGCAGCCGCGGUAAUACGGAGGAUCCGAGCGUUAUCCGGAUUUAUUGGGUUUAAAGGGUGCGUAGGCGGUUUGAUAAGUUAGAGGUGAAAGCUCGAUGCUCAACAUCGAAAUUGCCUCUGAUACUGUCAGACUAGAGUGUAGUUGCGGAAGGCGGAAUGUGUGGUGUAGCGGCGAAAUGCUUAGAUAUCACACAGAACACCGAUUGCGAAGGCGGCUUUCCAAGCUAUUACUGACGCUGAGGCACGAAAGCGUGGGUAGCGAACAGGAUUAGAUACCCUGGUAGUCCACGCCGUAAACGAUGAUAACUCGUUGCCGGCGAUAUAGUGUCGGUGACAAAGCGAAAGCGAUAAGUUAUCCACCUGGGGAGUACGUUCGCAAGAAUGAAACUCAAAGGAAUUGACGGGGCCCGCACAAGCGGAGGAACAUGUGGUUUAAUUCGAUGAUACGCGAGGAACCUUACCCGGGCUUGAAAGUUAGCGACGGAUCCUGAAAGGGGUCUUCUCUUCGGAGCGCGAAACUAGGUGCUGCAUGGUUGUCGUCAGCUCGUGCCGUGAGGUGUCGGGUUAAGUCCCAUAACGAGCGCAACCCCUACUGUUAGUUGCCAGCAUGUCAAGAUGGGCACUCUAGCAGGACUGCCGGUGUAAGCCGAGAGGAAGGUGGGGAUGACGUCAAAUCAGCACGGCCCUUACGUCCGGGGCGACACACGUGUUACAAUGGUCGGUACAGAGGGUAGCUACCUGGUGACAGGAUGCCAAUCUCGAAAGCCGAUCUCAGUUCGGAUUGGAGGCUGAAACUCGCCUCCAUGAAGUUGGAUUCGCUAGUAAUCGCGCAUCAGCCAUGGCGCGGUGAAUACGUUCCCGGGCCUUGUACACACCGCCCGUCAAGCCAUGGGAGUUGGGGGUGCCUGAAGUACGUGACCGCAAGGAGCGUCCUAGGGCAAAACCGAUGACUGGGGC